UACAGAGGUCUCAAGCGUUGUUCGGAAUCACUGGGCGUAAAGGGUGCGUAGGUGGCAUGGUAAGUCAGAUGUGAAAGCCCAGGGCUCAACCUUGGAAUUGCAUCCGAUACUGCUGUGCUAGAGUACUGGAGGGGUGACUAGAAUUCUCGGUGUAGCAGUGAAAUGCGUAGAUAUCGAGAGGAAUACCAAAGGCGUAGGCAGGUCACUGGACAGUUACUGACACUGAGGCACGAAGGCCAGGGGAGCGAACGGG
rnacentral:rRNA from 1 species